AAGGAUCAUUACUGAAGAAAUGGUAGGGNUGAUGCUGGCUCUUUGGAGUAUGUGCUCGCUCUAUCGCUCCUUCUACUCUCCACUGUGCACCUUUUGUAGGCUUGCAAUAUGGGAAGAAGUGCUCGCACACACAUUGUGUUUGCUUGCCUUCGACUUUUGUAGCCUAUGUCCAUAUACACUCUAGUAUUCUUGAAUGUAUAUUGUUGGUCUUUGACCGAUAAACCUUAUACAACUUUCAGCAACGGAUCUCUUGGCUCUCGCAUCGAUGAAGAACGCAGCGAAAUGCGAUAAGUAAUGUGAAUUGCAGAAUUCAGUGAAUCAUCGAAUCUUUGAACGCACCUUGCACUCCUUGGUAUUCCGAGGAGUAUGCCUGUUUGAGUGUCAUUAAAUUCUCAAACCUUACUGUUCCUUGUGAAUGGUCAGGCUUUGGAUUGUGAGGGUUCUGCCGGCUUUGACGGGUUGGCUCCCUUUAAAUGCAUUAGUGGUUGCUCCAUUCACUUAGGGUGUGAUAGUUAUCUACUCCCUUCAAAAUGAAUGCCCCAUCCGCUUCUAACUGUCCUUCAUGGGACAACUCUUGACUUAUUUGACCUCAAAUCAGGUAGGACUACCCGC
rnacentral:rRNA from 1 species